rnacentral:rRNA from 1 species
AAUAGAUACCCUGGUAGUCCUGGCCCUAAACGAUGAAUGCUUGGUGUGGCGGGUAUCGAUCCCUGCCGUGCCGAAGUUAACGCGAUAAGCAUUCCGCCUGGGGAGUACGGCCGCAAGGCUGAAACUCAAAGGAAUUGACGGGGGCCCGCACAAGCGGCGGAGCAUGCGGUUUAAUUCGAUGCAACGCGAAGAACCUUACCAAGGCUUGACAUAUAGGGAAAUCCGGCAGAGAUGUCGGGUCCGCAAGGGUCCUAUACAGGUGGUGCAUGGCUGUCGUCAGCUCGUGUCGUGAGAUGUUGGGUUAAGUCCCGCAACGAGCGCAACCCUCGUUCUAUGUUGCCAGCGGAUAAUGCCGGGGACUCAUAGGAGACUGGCCGGGGUCAACUCGGAGGAAGGUGGGGACGACGUCAAGUCAUCAUGCCCCUUUAUGUCUUGGGCUACACGCAUGCUACAAUGGCCGGUACGAAAGGGCUGCGAUACCGUAAGGUGGAGCGAAUCCAUAAAGCCGGUCUCAGUUCGGAUCGGGGU